rnacentral:rRNA from 1 species
UGGGGAAUUUUGGACAAUGGGGGAAACCCUGAUCCAGCCAUCCCGCGUGUGCGAUGAAGGCCUUCGGGUUGUAAAGCACUUUUGGCAGGAAAGAAACGUCGCGGGUUAAUACCCCGCGGAACUGACGGUACCUGCAGAAUAAGCACCGGCUAACUACGUGCCAGCAGCCGCGGUAAUACGUAGGGUGCAAGCGUUAAUCGGAAUUACUGGGCGUAAAGCGUGCGCAGGCGGUUCGGAAAGAAAGAUGUGAAAUCCCAGAGCUUAACUUUGGAACUGCAUUUUUAACUACCGGGCUAGAGUGUGUCAGAGGGAGGUGGAAUUCCGCGUGUAGCAGUGAAAUGCGUAGAUAUGCGGAGGAACACCGAUGGCGAAGGCAGCCUCCUGGGAUAACACUGACGCUCAUGCACGAAAGCGUGGGGAGCAAACAGGAUUAGAUACCCUGGUAGUCCACGCCCUAAACGAUGUCAACUAGCUGUUGGGGUCUUCGGACCUUGGUAGCGCAGCUAACGCGUGAAGUUGACCGCCCGGGGAGUACGGUCGCAAGAUUAAAACUCAAAUGAAUUGACGGGGUCAUAGCUGUUUUCU